UUUGAUGGCGACCGGCGCACGGGUGAGUAACACGUAUCCAACCUGCCGAUGACUCGGGGAUAGCCUUUCGAAAGAAAGAUUAAUACCCGAUGGCAUAGUUCUUCCGCAUGGUGGAACUAUUAAAGAAUUUCGGUCAUCGAUGGGGAUGCGUUCCAUUAGGUUGUUGGCGGGGUAACGGCCCUCCAAGCCUUCGAUGGAUAGGGGUUCUGAGAGGAAGGUCCCCCACAUUGGAACUGAGACACGGUCCAAACUCCUACGGGAGGCAGCAUG
rnacentral:rRNA from 1 species